UGACAUCAAUCUCGCACUCCAAAAACCUUUCAGGCACAAAUGAAUUAGGGUUGGACCAUAUCGUGGAGUCUCUGCCAAUAGCCCAUACAUUGACAAGUACAUGAGCAUUUUUUGGCACUGCAUAGCCUAAUAUUUCUGACUUCAUUUCGGUCUUUCUAGGAACCAGAAAUGGGACUGGUGGGUGCAACCUGAAGGUUUCUUUUACUACUGCUUGUAAAUAAGGGAGCUUUGAGAUGUCUGACUCUUCAACCAUCUUUUCUUUGCCUACGACUUUGCCGAGCUCACUUCGAGCUUUUGCCAUUAAAUUAGGGUUGUUUAACAAUUCUGCCAUUGCCCACUCUACCGUGCUCGAAGUAGUGUCAGUUCCCGCAGAGAAUAGGUCCUGCCAUGGAGUAAUAUGCUAAUAUCAGAAAGAAUACUACAUAUUAAUUUACGGCAUCACAUCGAUGUAAGCUAUAGCCGCCUUCGGUUUUUCAAAGAUCCACGCCAUCUAUUAUUGUUUUCUAAUAACUUAUCCAAAAAACUAGUCAACAAAUCAACCAUUUUUUAACCAGACCAUUUAAACCCAAUAAGCAAAUUCCACUACGCUAAAAGAAUACACAUAGAUAAUGAAGUGAUGCUGCUCUUUCUAGACUCCUUUUCCCUUCUAGUUUUUUCAACAAAGUAGUUUUCCCAUUUGGAAAAAAACUACCUGUCAUAAUUGGCAGACCAUUUUUCAACUAGAAUGUUUCAACCCACUAAGCAAAUUCCACCACGCUAAAAGAAUAUAUACACAUCAAUUAUGAAGUGAUGAUGUUCUUUCCUAACUCUUUUUCCCUUCUAGUUUUCCAACAAAGGAGUUUCCCCAUUUGGAAAAAACUAUUUGGAGUGCAAAGCAUAUGUUUCUGCAAAGAAAACCUCAAAAUACCUGUAUGGUUGUAGGAUUGUACAGAUCCAAUUCUUGCUCCAAAUGGGUUCUCAGAAAUUUUGGAGGGAGAGAAAAAUGAAAGAUAAAAAAAAAACACUACAGAAAAAUUGACAAAAAUUAAAUUAAAUUAUUCAACAAAGCACUUUUUUUUUGUCACUUUUACAUAAGAAAUUUAGGGAGAAAAACCUUUUAACAUUUUUCCCUUUUUUUAUUUAAUAUUUUUUUCACCUUCUUUUAUAACACCCAAAUAUAUAUUUUUUUUAAAAAGGAGUUAUUUUUUAAAUAUUUUUUCCCUUUACUUUCCAAGAUCAAGCAUUUCCUUAUUUUACCAAUAUACGAGAAGCAGAGUAAAUGUAACAUUUCUAUGCAUUAGCAAAGCACUUACCACCGAUAUUCAGGAAACAUGCAGGAUGCUGCUUUAGAAAAAAAAAUGAUUUCAUUUCCAUGGUCAUAUGUAGAGUUGAACUGAAAAGGAGGGUACUAGAACUAAUCAAUAAGAACCUUAAGAUAUGAUACUUACCACAAGCAAAUGUCUGACAUCGUUGCUGCUCAACUCAUGGUCAUGUUGUUUGUCGAGAUUGAGGAGGCCAUCUAGUACAUCGUUGUUUGCCGAAGAAGCUUUUAAUGGCAACCUUUGUUCGAUGAAACCAUCAAAAACCUCGACAAGUUUAUUAAAACAAACCGUCAUCCUUCUCAGUAUUCCUUGUGGAUCAACCAAUCUAAGAACCGGAAAGAAGUCUGCGAGGUUAGGCUUUCCAGCUUCUUCCAUUAUACUCCAUAUAAGAUCCUUGAACUCUUGUGAGAAAUUGGAAUUAUAGUGAGCCAAAUUAACAGAGAAAAUAGUGUUUGAUAACAAAUUAAGGGUGGUUGUAAAGGUUGCUCUCCCAAUAUCGACUGCCCGGCCGCUGCUGCAACUUUCCUGAGCAUGGCCUAGUAGCUGUUGGACAAUGUUUUCCCGCAUGGCUUGGCCGGCUUCGACACGAUGCGAGGAAAACAUCUGCUUGCUGCAAAUCUUCCUGAGGUUGCGCCAAUGAGCCGAUGCUGGUAAAAAUACUAUUGAAAAAUGGUGAUGGUCGGCAACUUGGAUGGCAUUGAGGACUGUCCUGCUGGAAAAGGCUUGGUCAUUUUUGUUUAGCACUUCCUGGGCUGCUUCUGAUGAGGAAACGACUAUGGUGGUGGUGCUUCCUAGCUUGAGAGACAUUAGAGGACCAUAAGUUUUGGAGAGAAUUGUAAGUGAUUGAUGGGGUUUUUCGCCCAGUUUGAGGAGGUUUCCGAUGAUCGGGAAAGGGCGGGGACCUGGCGGAAGCCUGGCCACACCGGAUUUCCUAUUGGUGAAGCCAAUAGUGAGCACUUUAACGCAUGACCAUACAAAGGAAAAUAGAAGGAGAAGUGUGGUGUAAUCCAUUGUUUUUUCUUUAGGUUUUUUUUCCUGUCUUACCUUCUUCCUUUAUAUACCGUAUAGUUUGCAUUUUAAUCUUGUUCUCUUUAUUAUUUUUUAAGCUAAUUAUAUUACCUAUCGAAAAAAAUGUAUCAUCAAUUAGAAGAUGACGCGUAUAUACUUUUAGAUUUCACUAUUUCUACCCUAAUUUCAUUGUUAAUUUAUAUUCUUAUACCUUAAUCUCAUUCUCCUGGGUCUGGCUGGUGGCAAGUGUGUUUACGAAGAAGGCCAGCUCCACUGUUGACCCCUCAUUUUGGCCAAGUAAGAGAGCCUUUCUUUUUAGGCCAGCUGGGGCUGUUAAGGAGCUGUGGAGAGGAUGUUCUCCUGGGUCCGGAGGGGAGAUUCAAGGACCGUUGGGGAGAGGCUUGGAGGAGAAGCAAGAACGGUAAAAAAAACGGAGCAGAGGGAGGAAGGGAGCAUUUUAGACGAUGAGGGAGCCAUUUUUUUUUAAGCGGGGUGAGCAGGCUGCGAGGGCGUUUUUUGAGAGGAGAAGAAAACGAGCUUGGGAAAGGAAAACAGAGAGUGAACUGGUACCUGAGAGAGCUGAAACAGAACAAGGAGAACUGAAGAAAGUGAAAAAAAACAGAGUAGAGAGGAUUCCGAGUGGUUCUUUUGGAGAGGCAUUUCCAGGUAUGAUCAUUGGGUCUGUCAUCUUCCUUUAUCCUUUUGAUUUAUCGGAUGCUAUUUGCUGCUUGGUGUCUCUAUUGAUCAUUGAGCAUUGUUUGUUGCUUGAUGCUUCCGUUGAUUUUUGGAUAUUGUUUGCUGAUUAAUGUUUGAGGAACCAUGUUUAGGCUUUUGUUUAAGCUCAUCCUGAAAUUUUCAGUUUGUUUCUGAGCAUUAAUUUGUGGAUUGGUGUGGACAUCAAGGGCCACUGGUUUGCUUUGCUGGAUCCGAUUGUAUACAUGUAUGCUCUGUUUUGGUUCUAUUUUGGUAUUUUUGAUUUCUCUUGUAAAUAUCUCAUGCUUUGCUCCUUCCCUGAACUUGAUUUAUCAAAAUCAUACUCUUGUUUCCUUUGGAUUCGACCUGCUCCUAGCUCUUUGACGAUCCAUGACAUAGAGCUAAGUUCAUACUCUGUUUUUACGUUUUUAUUCUUCUCUGUUUAUUGCUCUGUUUCUUGUUGAUGGUGGGAUGAUAUCGUCAACGGCCAAGUUGCUGGGAUUGGAGGAGUGUGGUUAUGGGGGGAAAUGAAUUUAAUGGAUUAUUUUUGUGAUUGUACCUGUGCUCCAGUUGAUUGGUUCAAAAAUGUUGGCCACGGGACUGCAUUGGAGUCUUGGUAUUUGGGAUCACUUUGCCAUCUGAGUUCAAUAAGCUAAAGAGUGGCAAUAAACAUCUCAGUUCUGAAGUGCCUUGUCAGAAGCCAAUAAGUUUGGCAAAUAAUGGGUCACGUUUAUGGUUCUCUUAAUGGCAUUCGAAUAAUCAGCAGAAUUGAUGGGGUUCUUUUGGAGCAGAGUUGCAGGUUGAAAGUGGGGAAGAGAAGUUUCGUGAGGGAGAUGGCAUGCAAUGGGUAAGGAAAUUGAAAGAGCCAUAAAUGUAACUGGUCUUAAUGGGAAAAUUGAGGAGUUUAAGCAGAGGAGUCAAGAGCAACUCAAUAAUUGCUCGCUUUAUGGAUAUUUCAUUAGGAAUGCCGUAAAGAAGAGAAGCAAUUCUAUUCUGUAUAUUUUAUCUGGCUUGAGGGAUUACCAUUGGAUCAUUAUUUGCAUGCUACUCUACCGGAAUUGCACCCGAUAUGCCAUUUCAUAAUUCUUAACUUGAGAGACAGCUUGCAGAUUCUUCAUCUUCUUCUGAACAGAACUUGCAAUCAGUCAGAACCUUGAAAUUGCUUUGAGGGCCAUGAUACCAGAACCUCAUCCCAUGCUUUCUGCCACCUCUUAAACCUCGGGACCCCACUUUCGCAUGGUCCGCAUGGCCAUCUUCCAGCAGUUUUAGGACGUCCAAGGUUGGCAAGCUGUUGGAAUAUGAUUUUUAAAGAGAGCAAGUGGCACUCACCAAGCAGCGCCAUGUAGAUGUUCCAGGCGAAAUAAGUCUAAAACCCAAUUCAGCCAGUCAUUUCGACCUGAGAAUAGCAGAGGGAAUUGACAAACGGGCACGUCCAUAGUAUAGGUCCAAUUGGGCACCCGCCCGAGCUUAGUGAAAGGACUUUUUGACUCAGCUGGAAAUGGGAUUUAUCCUAUUUGUGAAUUUCAGUCCCCUGGAUGGAGAGCUUGCCCAAAUCACAGACCUAGAGAUGAGGUCAUGCUUGGUGGGGUGCACGAAUGAAGAUUACCCUUGUUGCAGCCUAUGGUAUCAUAUCUGCAUGAAGACUCUAGUCCUCGUGUUAUGCAUUGGGAUUUCAAGUCCAGCAGCAUCUCGUUAGAAGACGACUUUACCACUAAAGUUCUGAUUUUGGAUUGGCUAGAAUAGCACUUGAUGAGAGGAACAAACAUAUCCCAACAUGCGUGAGUGGAAUUUUUGGCUACUCAGCUCCAGAAUCCACAUGCAUGGCCACCUUGGUGUACAUGUGCCUUGUUUUUGCUUGUUCCCAGCCUUGGCACCCUCAGUACCUGGCAGUCUCCACUCAACCAGAAGAAGGCAUCUCUGAUUCCUCUCUCCUAACCAUUCGAAAUCCUUCUUUCAGCAAAUCCAAGCCCCAAGCCGAACAACCCCGUGUCUAAAACCUUAGGACCAUGCUCACCAAUCGCUUUUCAUGUUCUCAUCUUACAUGCCUACUGGGUUUAGUGACAAGUCCAUAUCUACAACUGUGUGUAUAAGGAGACUGACAACAGUUCUUUUGAGAGAAUGUGUUCUCUAUAAUAAGUCCAGUGGAAACGGAGUUUGUCGAAACCUUGCUUGCUGUGUGUUCAACACUGAAGAAACCUUUGUAAGAAUUGUUAUGAGCAAUAUGGGACCUGCACCGCUGUCCUUAUGGGUCACUCUUACCUGGUUAAAGGGGUCACUCGCGAUCCUAUUGGCUCCUUCAUUGCAAGCCAAAUAGACGACAAAAUUGUCUUCAUAAUGACAAUGGUGCAUUUGAUUCACAGUUCACAGAAUUUUGCUUUUCUGGAAAGGAGGCUUUUCGGUUUUAUCAUGUCUGGCCAGCUUACGGAGACCGAUGUGUCGAUGUGGAGUUCAUUUGAAAUCUCUAGUUCUGCCACUCUCUCAGUUAAAGAAGACUUUAAAGGGUGGCGCCCAUGGCCGUUUUGGGAGCUGAAACGGACCACAUUUCCCCAUUGACGCUUCUCACACAGCAUACCUGGGCAAAGAUUAUAAGUUGAAUAAAGCAAAUAUAUACUUGGGAAGGCAACCACAUUGACAAUAGCAACAACUUCAACACAAGCAAUCCGGUCUCGAUUACACUCUUGCAUGGCCACCCUUUACAUGCAACCGCGCACCUACAACUGCAAUCAAUCAAGGUCCUUCCCACCCCGGGCCCUCAUUUCUACCUGGUCACCUUUGAUAGGCCAUCCUUGGGACACACGUGCCUCAUCCUUUAUGUCUUCAUGCAUGCCUUCAAAAAUUGAUUUUAAAAAAUCCAGGUAUCAAAUAAUCUUAAUCUGUUAACCUUUUAUUUUAUUUUUAUUUAUUUAUUUAUUUCCUUAGAAAUUUCAAGUUAUUGCUAAAAUCCAAUUUUAAUAAAUUUUGUUGUCACUUCUCUUCUCGGCAAGCAUCUUUUGCAAAUUUCCUUAUUAUUAUUAUUAUUAUUAUGUUUUUCACGUUUUAACAAACAUGAAUAAUUCUAUAAUUUCAAGUAAUGAAAUUUAUGGAGUUAAUUCAUGCUAAAAUAAACUAGGCAUUGGUGGGGCCCAAUAUCUAUGAUUGAAAUUGAUUGAUUUAUGCCCUACUGUGAUAUGCAUGCGCAUUCAUACACUAACUUUUGUUUCUUGUGAAAGUGCAUCAUUACUCAUUGUUAAGGUACACCUCAUACCCCUAUCAUAUUUAUUUAUUUAUCCGUUAUCAUGCAUAAUUUGCUUUUACACUCUUGACCAUUAUUUGGUAUCUAUGAUUAAUUGAUCAAUUGCCACACUUAUUUUAACCAAAUAAUAGAGAUUUAAUUCUUAGGUCUUAGAAGGGUGCUAUGGAUUAUCACCCGUACCUUUCCAAUAGGUAAUAUGACCUUGAGACCUAGAUUCUAUUUUUCACAUAUUUGUUUUUCAUUUAGGAGUCAUAUUUAAGGUUUUUUUUUAAUUUUUUUUUUUUAAAAGUGACGAUUCCAAAAACUUUUGAAAAAACAAUUUUCAAAAUAAAAAAUCAAGUAUCACCAUUUGAGUGGAAAUGCAUGCAAGAAAUGCAGGGUCCACAUCCACCUUAUCUGCAGCAUGUGAAUAGAAGGUUGGUGUUGAACUAUUAACGAGUGAAGUCACUUUUUUUAAAUUAGCUAUCUAAAAUUCUACUUCCUGAUUCUAAUUUCUAGAAAAAGUAUGAGACAAUUGUUAAUAGAAUAUAUAAAAGUACUGUUACAACUCAUAUAUUUGGUUUUCAAAAAAUAUUGAAGAAAAAAUUGUUAUUUUCUAUUUAGAUAAAAGAUAUACUUUACCCACAUUCAAGUUGGAAUAAACUUGCUGGAGUAUGUUUGAUUCCAAUAUAAUUUGAGGAAAAGAAAAUAUAAAAGGAAACUAAAAGAAAAGAGAAAGUGAAAAAAGAAUAAAAAGAUUCGGACUCGAUCAAUAGAUUACUUUAAAUUUAUUUAUUUAUUUUAUUUUUAAAUAUAAAUAUAAAAUAAUUUGAAAAUAUAUAAGUUUUUAACUAAUUUUUUUAAAUUUGAUUUUCUUUUAUAUAUUUCUUGAAAUAAUCAAAUAUAAGAAAAUUAUUUUGUUUAACUUUUUUUUUCACUCUUUAUAUUUUCUACUAACCAAACAUAAGUUUAUAGAUUUAUAAAUGUAAACUCAAUUAACAAUUAUUAGAUCAUCCACCGAAUGCACCAAUAAUUAACAAUCCAUUAAUUAAAAGGAAAAAGAAGAAAUACAAUAAUAAAACCUUUUUUUUAAAAAAAAAAACUCUCACACUUGCAGUCUCACCAUAAAACAUAAAAUGAUUAAAAAAAUAAUAACAGGUACAAACUCCUUAUCCAUCACGUAAAAUUAUAAUGUUUUUAUUUAUUUUCUAUUCAUGGGUAUAGGUGAUUUGGUUAACAAUGAAAUCAUUUCUCGUAUUUUGUUGCAUUACAAUUUGUCCCUAAAUUUUUAUUUAUUAUUUAUUUUCUCCAUCCUACCUCAAGUGAAACAAUACAAAAUAGUACUCAAAAGUUAUACCAACAUGAUACAUUGACAGUGAAGCAAACAUUAUUUUUCUUUAUUAAUCACUGCAUUAUUUCAGCAACUUAAUAAAUACAUAUGCUUUUCCUCAUAAUCUAAUAAUCAAUAUGAUAUUUUUAAAAAUAUAUACUCACCCAAGUUAAUUGGUUCUUAGAUAAAGACAAAUACUAUGGCUUGAUGGGAACAGCCUGGAGAGGUUGGGCUUUCCUCAAUGUCAAUCCAAACUUCUCAGUCAUGUCCAUAUCUUCUGGUUUCAGACCAUCUUGAAGCUUCCAAUCAAAGGAGUGAAGAAGAGAAGCCAACAUCAAGUGGACCAUCCUAUGGCCUAAUAGCAAUCCAGGACAGAUUCUUCUUCCAGCACCAAAUGGAAUGAGCUGGAAAUCUCGACCCUUGACAUCAAUCUCGCACUCCAAAAACCUUUCAGGCACAAAUGAAUUAGGGUUGGACCAAAAUAGUACUCAAAAGUUAUACCAACAUGAUACAUUGACAGUGAAGCAAAUAUCAUUUUUCUUUAUUAAUAACUGCAUUAUUUCAGGAACUUAAAUACAUAUACUUUUUUCAUAAUCUAAUAAUCAAUAUGAUAUUUUUAAAAAUAUAUACUCACCCAAGUUAAUUGGUUCUUAGAUAAAGACAAAUACUAUGGCUUGAUGGGAACAGCCUGGAGAGGUUGGGCUUUCCUCAAUGUAAAUCCAAACUUCUCAGUCAUGUCCAUGUCUUCUGGUUUCAGACCAUCUUCAAGCUUCCAAUCAAAGGAGUGAAGAAGAGAAGCCAACAUCAAGUGGACCAUCCUAUGGCCUAAUAGCAACCCAGGACAGAUUCUUCUUCCAGCACCAAAUGGAAUGAGCCGGAAAUCUCGACCCUUGACAUCAAUCUCGCACUCCAAAAACCUUUCAGGCACAAAUGAAUUAGGGUUGGACCAUAUCGUGAAGUCUCUGCCAAUAGCCCAUACAUUGACAAGUACAUGAGCAUUUUUUGGCACUGCAUAGCCUAAUAUUUCUGACUUCAUUUCGGUCUUUCUAGGAACCAGAAAUGGGACAGGUGGGUGCAACCUGAAGGUUUCUUUUACUACUGCUUGUAAAUAAGGGAGCUUUGAGAUGUCUGACUCUUCAACCAUCUUUUCUUUGCCUACGACUUUGCCGAGCUCACUUCGAGCUUUUGCCAUUAAAUUAGGGUUGUUUAACAAUUCU
rnacentral:lncRNA from 1 species